UGCGCCUGCCCUUCGCAGCCGCACGCCCAGGCCGUGCCCUUUCGGGCGGCUUCUCCUCCUUGGCUUUCCUCAGCAAGCCCUCCUCCAGCGGACACGCGCAUCCGUUUCGCCAACGCCCCUUUACCCUCCCUCUGUAGCCGGCUCUCUGGCCCCUCGUGGCUGUGGCUGUGCUCCUCGCCUGGAGCCAGGGCUGCGGGGAGGGGCGAUAGGGCAACAGGGCUCGAAAAGGCUUUUAAAAGAUAAAGCCGGUCUCAGCCUUGCUAAGUAGAGCCGAGAGGGAAAGAUCUGGCGCCCUCUGGGCUUGCGAGGAGCCAGCAGCAUCGCGCCCCCUGCCGGCCAGUGAGGGGGCCGCCCCUCCCCGGAAGAAGAGGGCGGGGCCGCCAGAGAAAGACGCAUCCAACCUGGAUCAGGAUCGGCGACUCUGGGAGUUUUACUGGAGCAGCUAGUGAAUAAAUUGGCUCCGCGAUUCAGAGAGCAUCAACCUAGGGUGGGAUCAAGGCUGGCCGAUCCCACACGCCCACACCCCGCACUGCGCACGCAGCGAAGAUUGCUCAGGCUCUGGGGAAUGAAGGUAUUGGAGCGCUGGCAGCCCCUGGAGACCAUUCCCCUGCGCUGCGUCGUCACGUGGCCUUGCUGACGGGACCCAUGCAGGAUCCUGGGCCUCAGAUUCCUUCCAGGAACUGAGAUGGAAGGAGCUGUCUCGGGAAGUUUCAAUGACCUGCCCAAAGUCAGAGAGCUCCUAAGUGAGAAGCAGCCUAGAAUAAUGGUGAGCCCUUCAAAUUAAAUAAAAACCAAGUCUCCACCAUUAGAAACCUGCUUCAUGCUGCAAACUAAGAAAGCAUCUCUCUCUUCGCUCACUUCACCUGAUUUAUAACUACCUCACUUGGCCCCUUACCCACUCUUCUCCCUGGGACCACAGAAGGGUCACCACAGCUCUCUCUACCCCUCCAGUGAGAAUCCUCACAUUCAGAGUCGUGGUCCUGUGCACGUGGCCCCCUUUGCUAGGCCCUGGGCUGAGGAUCGCAUGGGGUUAGAGUUGGGGGUCUGUGGCUGGAUGGGUGUUGAGGCUCUCUGCUCCAAGUGUAUUGUAUAGCCCCCAGUAGUAGGGAGGGACUGGAGGCAGUGGGGCUGAGUAACGGGUACUGCCCCAUUAUCUUCCAGGGAUGAAAGUUGAGACUUUGAGUCCUGACACUCCAAUAGACCUCAAGCAAUGUGUGGGGAGGCUGCACAGCAGGAGCCCAGUGGUCCUUGGGGAAAUCAGACCCACACAUGGCCUGCAGGGUGAAGAGAAGGAAAUGGAAGGCAGCUCCAACUGCUGGGCUCCCCAAAUAAUUGUCUUGACUCCUUGAGCCUCUUUUUUGCCACAGAUCAUAUGAAGAAGGGGUCCUCUUGUACUGUUUUAUCCAGAAGGGCAGUGGCUAAGGAGGAACACACUAACUAGAAAGCAUAAGUCCUUUGGCCAAAUGCAACCCAGCCUGAGCAACAAGCCAGCCUCCACCCCAAGGCACCAGGGGCCCCUUGCCAGAUGGAGAUGCUACGGAAAAAGAAAAGGACCAUGGAGUGCUGUCUGUUCUGUGCCCUGUGGCUCCAGCUGCCAGUCUUUCCUACCCAGGGAGUCAUCUCUGCUUCCUCUUAGGAGCUCAGGGGUCAUGAAGUCCUGCCUGCUGCUAAAGGAACCCGGGGAGCACAGCUCAUGGUUGCCAGUUGCUACCACAGCGGAGUCUGUGGCCAAGGUGGCAGGAUUUGCCUAUGUCUGUCCCAGGGAAGCGAAGGGAUGAAUAUGUGCCUCUGGGCAGAAAAUGAAAACCAGAGUCAAGGGAAAGAAACUAAAUGUGUGUAAAGUUUUCGAAAGUGAGCCUAGAGAAUGGCUGAAUAACUUCCUGAAAUCUCUUCCAGGCCUAUCCUCCAGCCAUGCACAGCCACCUCCAGGUCUUAUUCUGGCUCUGCCUGGAACAUCCCUCCCCACUUCGUCUUCUAUGGAAAUUAUCCCCUAGAAUUAUUUGAUCCUUCCAGAUUCAGUUUGGUGUCAUCUCCUGCAGGAAACCUAUCCUGUCCCCUGCUACACUCAACACAGACCUGCAGUGAGGCCACUUCCCUUCUCACUUUUGUAUUGUUAUUAUCCAAUUAUAGGUAUGUUUUUCCCCAGCAGACUGUCAGUUCCUGAAGGGCACAAUCUACAGCCUCAAUCUCUGAUGCCUCGGCUUAGAAUGUUAUUUGUCAUAUGGAAGGGACUCUGUAAAUGUUUACAGAAUAACAAUAUUGGCUUCAAUGGAUCAAAGGACAUGAAUAUCCUUUUGGCUCUUGACAUAUUGCAAACUGCCUUCCAAAAGGUUUACACCUAUUUACAAUGCCAUCUGCUAUGCAUAGAAUAUAGGUUUCACUGCAACCUUGCUAUUUUAUUAGGAGAAAUUGUGUCCUAGUGUUUUAACAUGCAUAUCACUACUAGUGAUAUCUCCCCAAUGUUCACGUCAUUAGUCCUAAAUCUCUGUUGUGAAUUGUCUCUUUAUAUCCCAGUAAUCAUUUUCUGACAGCUUGCUAAAGCUUCAGCCAAAUUUCUUUCUCCCCCUAAGCAAGGAGCCACAGGCUCUUCGAAUGGAGGACUUUUCCCCUAAACUAUGUAGAUGCAUAUCAGUGUGCCCAGAAGGCAGUUUACAAUCUAAGUUUGCUUUCAGGCCUUAGACAGUUAAGAUUUCCACACUACAGACUCUAUUUUCUUGGCAGGAGCUAUAGAUAAGAAAUACAGUCUGACUUUUUUCAACAGAUCCUUAAAAUUUCUGGAAAAGUGCAAGUCUAUAAAAAUGACCCUUUCCUGCUAGCCCUUGAAAUUCACCAAGUCUGUUCUCUAGAACUUCUCCCCUUAAGCCUCUGGAUGGACAGGGAGAGCAGGAGUAGGAGGAAGUGGCAUCGUCAGAGCAGAGCUCAAGGACGUGUCCACACUGAGAACUCCUUAGCCAGCUUUGCGGUCAGUUGGUUAACUUGUUGUGAUAUGAAUUUAAAGGACGAAGUCCUUUUCCCUAAAAAGUGUAGCCUGCGAUCCUGUUCUAUCCCUCUGCCUCCUCGGUAUGGGUCUCCUCGUUUCCUCUGAUGGGCAGUUAUGGAAAGAACACAUACUAUUUUACCACGUGACAAUGACUUUUCGCAGUACAUACUUGAUAGCAUUAGAGAAAAUUCAUAGACACUAGCUCACUCCACACAGCUCAGCUUGGCACAGUCUCAUGGGGCUUUGAAGCCUGCUCUGGUUCAUCUCAAAGUUCACACGUACUGCCAGUCCCCGUUGCAGGCCACAGCUAUUUAUCCCCUGAUCUCUGAAGAAGCAGGCUUCUUUCAGUCUGAACUCUGGGCCCAGUCUUCAUGGCUCGAGUAGAAACUACCUUCCUUAUGUCCAUGCAAAGCCAACUCAAGAGUUUGUCUGUUACGUUUAGAGAACAUUUCUAAACUAGUCUCUUUGUGGCCAACAGUUCUAAACUUCUCCCGCCGUGAAGCUGUCUCUCCCUUAUCUGUACCCUAAUGAAACUCUUCUUAAAAUUCGCCAACUCUAGGACAUCCAAGGAGCCAGCAACACAUCUUUUUCAGGCACUCAUUCCAGUCACUCAAAAAAUAUUUGUUCAGAUACUUACUAGGAACCCACCAUGACUAUGUACCUGAUUUUGCCUAAGUGCCGAAGAUACAGCCAGAGCUACCCUUGGAGCCAGAACAUAUGAAAUAAUAAAUUUACUAGAGAAUACAGAGGUCCCUCUGUCCCUUGGGAUCUAGUGCAACCCAUGAUGCUAAAUCUUUGCUUUCAUGACCGCCCUGGAUCUAGUGCAAGGGAAACACUUCUCCACAUCUCUUGCCCAAGAUCCUUAAAAGAUGACUAUGUCUGAAUGAUGAGACUGCUUGUAGAUUGUGCCUCUAUCAGGACUAGAGAUAGACAAAGCUUCCAAGUGCUGGGAGGAUCUGGCAGCAGAGGCAGAUUGGUAAAGAAAAGACUAACGUUAAAUUCUUCCUCUCAGAUAGCAUGACUGCGAUGCAUUUUAACAUUAUGAUCAUGAUGCCAAGCAUCUAUUUUCUUCUUUCCCUUCAUGUUCCAGUGCACAUUUCUGAAGGUACUCACAAAUUAGCACAAUAUCGCCAACAGUUGUACAGGGCAGCUGAGGCGUAUUUUGCAAUAUUCAACAAUUUUAGUCUUAAAUUGAUAUAUUUGUAGGUUUGGACAGCAUGUAUGAAAUUUGCCACUCUUUAAAUACUUUAUAUAUCUAGAUAGAGCUUUAAGAAGUGGUAAAAAUUUCAAUGUAAGUCAUAGCACUUCAUAUGAUAAAGUUAAAAUAAUCAAUAGUAUUUCCUGUGAUCAUAUUAAUUUAACACAUGCAACCCCAUUCCAAUGGUAGACCAUGAUAUGUAAAAUUCACAAUUUAUUCCCAUAUCUAAAUAUUGAUUCAAAAUUGUACUGACAAUACCAGUUGCCAUGGCUUUAACAGUGUGAAAUACCUUCAAAUUGAAAUUAAUUUUUAAAAAACUAUCUAAUAACUAUAAUUACUUAAGAAACAUUUGACAUCCAAAGCUGUCAGAAGAACGUAAGUUAUGUGAAAAUCUAGACUGUAACAAGACAGGAGUUUGCAAGCCAUCAACUGGUAUGGAGAAGAUUAUGUAGACAUUAGAGAGCUGUUCCUGGUACAGAGGGUUUGUGUGACUAUAGAAAGGAGGCUUGAGGAGAAGUACAUUAGAUUCCAGGGCUCUUCAUAUAUUUCUGAGUCACCGAUGCUAUCAGCAUUUAAUGUAAUGCACAGAGUUGGGAGAUUUCAAGCAAGAGUGAGUCAUGCACUUUUUGUGCCCUCCCAUCCCAGGAGCCCUUAGGGUCCUCUUCAGCUGCCUCUACUUUCAGUCAUUAAAGCUUUCUUUUCUUCCCGUGACUAUUUCCAAUCCCUUCCCCAAGAUCCUGACACCAAGACCAAGACCGUUUUCAGUUUGAGGCCUAUAAUAUCAAGAAGUGGGAUAAAGCUAGAGAAUGGCUCCAUCAAGGGAACAUCAGGGUCAGGAAAAGGAAAAAUCUUGAUCAUUUUUAGAAGAUAUGAAUCACCAGCAAGGACUGAGAGAGGGCUGUAAGGGAGCAGAAGAUGAACGUGAUUUCUGAAUGAGCUUGAAAUGAGGAAGGAUGGAAUGAGAACCACAGGACAGGAGGGAGAGCUGAGUUAGCUGGGGUGUAGUGACUAGAAGCCAGAUUCAGGAGUGAACCUUGAUUUACUCAACCUUGAGAGAUAGUUUGCAAAUGAAGAAAAUUAGAAUCACCAGAGUUGAAAAAUAAAAAUAAAAUUAGGAUGGGAGAUAUGCAGGAUGGAAAAAAGAUAAGAGGGAAAGCUAGUUGGAAUCACAAGAGAAUCAAUGUGGAAGAGUUUUCAAGUCUCCUCAGCCCUUUUGCGCCUCCCUCACCCCUCAGUAUCCACUCCUAUGCAUGUAUUUUUUAUAUAUUUAAAUAGACCCCCCCCCCCACCCGAGAUAAUGGGACCUCCAACGGCCCUCCCACCUGGAGCCACCUUUUCAUAUUUUGCCGCCAAUAGAUCGUUCUCUGAAGUAACCCUUUGGAGCUCCCCUACCUUUCCACUGCUCACAAGCUGAGAUUUGGUUGGAUAUUACGGUUCUAUAAUGAUAAUUUGAGAAGAAAGGGAGAUGGGGAACAACACCAAAGAGAAACCAGAGUUAGGGACUAUCCCAGAGCAGGGAAGGACGUGGUCAGUCAGAGACCAACAUGGGAUCCAGACACACCGAGGAACAAAAGCCUAAGAGCUCCAGAGACAAUUCCUGCCAGCUCAGCCCUCUCCUGAAGGCAGAUCCCCAUGUCUUGCCUCUCUCACUAUAGGAAACAGUCCCUGGCUCCUGGCUCCUGGCUCUGGUCUGAUGGAGCACAAGGAACAGCUGCUGGAAUUGGAGUGGGUUGGUAUAUGUGAGUGUGCCAACCAGCCAGGGGCCCUGACAUCCCCCAACUGACCUGAGGGAGGAGUCCCUGGCCACUAGCAAAGGUGACACAAAAGGGAUGCAGCCAGGGGUUACGCCUCCAAGGCCCAGUCUGUGGGGAUGCUUAAAAACACCACUUGUAGAUCAUUUCGUUUUUAUUUCAGUUUUGUUCUAAGUUGCUAGCUUCAGAUUUGUUGAAUGUCAAAUAAAGAAUGCUUUCUACUUUUACUAUA